rnacentral:rRNA from 1 species
ACUCCUACGGGAGGCAGCAGUGGGGAAUAUUGCACAAUGGGGGAAACCCUGAUGCAGCCAUGCCGCGUGUGUGAAGAAGGCCUUCGGGUUGUAAAGCACUUUCAGUAGGGAGGAAGGUAGUGUAGUUAACACCUGCAUUAUUUUGACGUACCUACAGAAGAAGCACCGGCUAACUCCUGCCAGCAGCCGCGGUAAUACGGAGGGUGCGAGCGUUAAUCGGAAUUACUGGGCGUAAAGCGCAUGCAGGCGGCCUGUUAAGUCAGAUGUGAAAGCCCGGGGCUUAACCUCGGAAUUGCAUUUGAAACUGGCAGGCUAGAGUCUUGUAGAGGGGUGG